GGUCCCGUAGUGUACCGGUUAUCACGUCGCCCUGUCACGGCGAAGAUCGCGGGUUCGAUUCCCGUCGGGACCG
rnacentral:tRNA from 1 species